rnacentral:lncRNA from 1 species
CUCCGCUACUGCCACGGUCUCUAUGUUCUGCAUUGCUCACUCCGGCUUAAUAUUUGCUUUUUUACUUCUCUAAAUUUAGUUCUGAUUUCACCACUAAUUUUGAUUAGCCUUUUCAAUUCCUAGUUGGAUUGAAACAAAGGAUUUAAUUUUCAUUCAAGACAAUGUCUCACUGCUCGAGUAGCUCACCAGGGUGUAGAUGCGGAUUUAUUGCUAAUAAGUCCAUGGCAUGAACUCCUUCAAAUAUUGGGAUACGUUUUUUAAGUGCCUAAAGCCUGAGGUAACAUAAUUUGUUUUUCAUGGGCUCUUCUUAUUUUCUGAUUUGGGUGUAAAUUACUUUUUCAAGGGUUCUUCAAAUGAAUCUUCAACCUUCAAUCUGACUUUGAUUACCAACUUUGAAACCCUAGCUCAAGGUUUUGUAGCCAUGAAAAUUUGACAGAGAUAAAAUGAACGAAUGGGUAGGUUUACACUUUUAAUAAAUGGAUUAAGAGAGGUAAAUCGAGGUAUAUUAAAAAUGUAGGUGGGGAAAUAGUGGGGUAGGAAAAAAGAAUGGGGGAUGGAGGGAGUUUAAGAGCCACUUGGAUUUUUAAAGGGCAAAAAUAAUUUUUGGAAUUAAAAAUUAUUAAAAAAUCAAUUUGUUAAUCAAAAAGGGUAUGGAUGACUCCGAUCGGUCACGACAGGGGAAUAUCUACUACCCCAACUUUAAACGAGGGGCAUAAUUGUUCUAUUUCAUAUAGUAAAAUGAUAGUUUUGGCUCAUUUCUGUAUUAUAUAAAGGUUCAGAUGAUGGUUGAUGGUUGCAAAUUACUCAAGAAAGGAAUUUUGUGUUUUGCUUACUAGUAGGUGGUAUAUUGUUUUGUUGUUUCAUGCAUCUUGUGAGCCUCUGGAUGCAAACCACUUCAUAUAUUAGGAGUCCUCUGGUGCAUUAGCUAGCUGCUCAAUUGGUGAGAGUUGAAAGAAAGGGAGUAAUUUUUAUUUGGUGAGAUCGAGCAUAGGUCAUAUCUUUGUUAACUCAUCUACCGCAUAAAGGAAAGGACAAAAAAGUAGAAAUGCAGUAUCAAUUCCCUUCCAAUUGAAUCUGUAUUCUUGCGUGAAUAUAACAUAAUAACUAUAUAUUACUUAACAAGUUAAUUAAUUCGCGCUUCGCGUGGUAAUAAAAAAUAUUAGUGAAUUUAGAAAUAAUUUUGUUGUGAAUAUACUCGAGAUAAUUAAGGAGAUGGUAUAAUUUUUCAUUCAUAUGCAUAGAAAUUUUAAAAAGCAAUUACACACACACAUAUAAAGUUUAAAAAAAUAGCAAAGCGGACAAUAUUUCCUACAGAAACAGUGGAAGUAUUGUUCCCUAACCAAAGUUUGCAGAAACAAUAUAGCUAUCGACAUAUGUUUAAGAAGAGGAGCAACAACAAAAUCAGUAAAACACUCAUAUUAGUGAAUUUUUAAUCUAAAUAAUCAGAUAACAAAAUAAAUGACUUUACCGGAUUUGACAUUUGCACAUGGCAAUGUAUUUUGCAGUGUUUUAAAAGGCGUUUUCGGGGAGAGCCCUGGGGCGAGGCGGACCAAAAACGCCCCGAGGUGAUGGUGGGACGAAAGUCUCAAGAGGCGUAUGCCCAGCAAUUCGGAG